rnacentral:rRNA from 1 species
AGUGAACGCUGGCGGUAGGCCUAACACAUGCAAGUCGAACGGCAGCACAGUAAGAGCUUGCUCUUACGGGUGGCGAGUGGCGGACGGGUGAGGAAUACAUCGGAAUCUACUUUUUCGUGAGGGAUAACGUAGGGAAACUUACGCUAAUACCGCAUACGACCUACGGGUGAAAGCAGGGGAUCUUCGGACCUUGCGCGAUUGAAUGAGCCGAUGUCGGAUUAGCUAGUUGGCGGGGUAAAGGCCCACCAAGGCGACGAUCCGUAGCUGGUCUGAGAGGAUGAUCAGCCACACUGGAACUGAGACACGGUCCAGACUCCUACGGGAGGCAGCAGUGGGGAAUAUUGGACAAUGGGCGCAAGCCUGAUCUAGCCAUACCGCGUGGGUGAAGAAGGCCUUCGGGUUGUAAAGCCCUUUUGUUGGGAAAGAAAAGCAGCAGGUUAAUACCCCGCUGUUCUGACGGUACCCAAAGAAUAAGCACCGGCUAACUUCGUG